rnacentral:snoRNA from 1 species
AACCCAUUGUGAGGGCACCUUCUCAGUAAGUCCUUAUAUCUCUCUCAUGCAUCGUAAAGAGUUUCUAAGCUCGCCUGUACAAAUGAAGAGAUAUCAUUACGUAAUUU